AUGGUUAAGUGGCGAUUCAUCGGUUUUUAUGGUCACCCGAAAUGGAAUGAACGCCAUCUAUCUUGGGAGGAUAUUCACAAUCUUCAUAGUAAAGGAAACCAUCCGUGGGUGGUUCUAGGAGAUUUUAAUGAAAUUCUUUACCCUUCGGAGAAGGAGGGUGGCAUGGCAAGACCAAUUGGUAUGAUGAGAGAGUUUCGUGAAUGCCUAAUGGAUUGUGGGCUCGAUGACAUGGGCUAUACCGGUGACAUUUUCACUUGGAGGAGAGGAGAAAUACGUGAACGCCUUGACCAGGCAGUCUGUAAUAUAGCAUGGGCAAAUAAAUUUCCUAGAGCGGCGGUGAUCAACGAAGAACAUGUCCACUCUGACCAUCGCCCAAUCAUUCUGGACAUGGAAUAUUUGGAUGGAAAAAUCUUUAAACGACCGGAGGGGCGUGUUAAACAAUUUGAGGCGAGGUGGUUGAAGGAAGAGACGGUGACUGAAAUUGUUAAGGCAUCGUGGGAGAAAGCAAAGCUCGCAUGUAUUGGACCUUCACUUGCGGACCUUACAAGAGCAGUGCAUACCGAUCUAUAUACUUGGGAUCGGGAAACAUUCAGAUAUUGGGGACUUGAAAGCUCCAGGGCCAGACGGACUCCGUGCUAUUUUCUAUAA
rnacentral:rRNA from 1 species